rnacentral:lncRNA from 10 species
GUAAGACCCACGUUAAUUUUCUUGGAAUAUCACUGUUGUUUUUAUUCUUAGGGUGUAUGUUAGGGAGAAGAGCAGGGAGGUAGUUUGUCAGAUGUUGUUCUUUCCUUGUUAAGCUUCACCUGUUCUUAAGAGCAACUUGCACUUUGUCAGCCACAGAAUAGUGCCUGCCGUUCAGGCCAGUGUUUUAGAUAUAAUUGAAUUGCUGGGACGCAUUAAACAUCAUAGGGUUUUUAGCGGAGAAAUAAUUUAAUGAUGUGGCCUUUAGGAUUGUUAAUUAGCACUGUCUGUAUGAACAUGUAACAAUAACACCACCUACCGUAAAAGCGAAUGUUCUACACUUCAGGACACUCAUUUCUUUAGGGCUUCCCGCAGAGAAGCAGUCAUUAACUCUUUUUUUGACAAAUGCUUUUAGACAUGCUCUGUAGGGCCGUGAAUUCACCCUUCCCUCCAAUCCUGAAUCCUUCUCUGCAUUUAUCCACAAGGCAAGCUGGCAAACAGGGAAACAAGGAGAACUGUGUGCUCAGCCCUCCAGAGUGGCACGGAUUAUGAGGAGGUGAUGGUCCUUCCCCGCCAAGAUCCUGAGACACUGUCACUCCGGAAUCCAAAAAGAGAUUCAGAUACCAUGAAAGGAUUUGAGCGUUUUUUUAUGUGAAUCCAAAGAUGACAUUUACAAAAGGUGGAGAAGCAGUUCCCUACUGAGGGACGUGGAUACAAAAAGCAGAUGACACAACACAUCCCAUAGAGUUCCCAGGGAAGAAUGAACCCAGAUUCUUGACCUGCAGAGGUGGCGUACUGGCUGGAGAAAUCUCUGGCUGGCGACCGUGCUAUUCUGUCUGUCCACCUAACUGUGGGCUCCCAGAUCACCACUGCCAUGGGCAGGGGGCCGUGGGGUGGGCCUGCUUGGGGUGACAGGCUAGCUGUGCUCCCAUAGCAGAGGUGGGAGAAGGGAAUCACAUCUGGUGAGCAGCUAUGUCGUGCCAGGCACUGUGCUGUGUAUUGCACACAUCUCAAACCUUGUGACAAAUGUGUAAGAUAUUUUUUAUGUAUUACAAAUGAAGGAACUGGGCUCAGAAAAGCUCCAUUAUUUGCCCAAAUUGCAGCAGUAAUGCAGGAAUUUGAAUCCACAUUAAUCUGACUCCACAACCCAUGUUCUUUCACUGAAUUCCCAUAUCCUUGUUCCCCCUACUGUCCUCACUGGUCAAGGUGAGCUUGGUCUUCCACAAACAGGCUAGAAAAGUAUGCUUACUUAUCUUUAGCUUUAUGCUUUUAAACUAAUUCUUAAAAAUCUUCUCUGGAUAAGUCAAAGACAAUGGGAAUGUGUAUUUCUAAUACAUUAAUUAUAAUACAUUACCGGUUUACACAAUGCCAUCACCUUGUCAUUUUCUUUGACACAACGUCCCCCUCCCCUCUAGUUUAUAAAUGAGGACAUUGAGGCACAAAGUGGGUAAGUGACUUGCCCAAGGGGGAGAUUUGUCCAAUCAUAAAGAUGGGCCUGAACUUUUUCUACUUUGCAUUCUUACUUGAAAGGCAGGAAACAUAUGCUCAAGAGGGAGAUCUCACGAAAUUUCAUGUCAUAUAGUGCUCUCGCUAAUUUAAUCCUGUCAUUCCUGGUUAUAUCCCUUUGGAAAAACCACCACCAGUGCCUUCUCUUUUGAUAUAUUUACAGUAAAAAUAUUCCCUGUACAAACCAUCUCACUCUUUCACAGGGAACUGGCUUGGCCCUCUCCCCUGAAGUGGGUUGCACAUCCACCCAGCCCACCCCCAGCUCACUCUAGCUCCCUUCCUGUUAGAAUUUAUUCAGAACCUCCAUUUCUAGGAGGAAGCAAGGAGGGGGCAGUUAUCUUCGUGGACUUGGGUCCUCCUGGACCCUUUGUCCUCAUGGUUAUGUUUCAAACAGAGUUGAGGGCUCCCUAAAGGGGAAAGAUUAUUUAAGUUUUGUAAAUGCUGCCCUCCAAAAACCACUCCACAUAAAUGUUUCAUGGCUUAGCCUCUGUGAGGCCAGAGCUGGAACAUUCAGCUGUGAGGGUGUUUAUAUUUGUGGAACUCUCUUGAACAUUUGCUGUGGGUUUUAAACAGCUGCUAUGCUGAAGCUCUGGGGAUAGGAAGAUCAUGAAUAUUCAGGUGAAGCCACCAGAAUGAACAGCCGUUAAUAGAAUAAAUGCCUAAACAGUUGUGUAAGGCUUAUUAAGACCUAUUGGGGCUGAGAUAAUAAAUUCCCACUCUGACAUGUUGCAACUACUGUCGCUUAAACACUUUGGACCACCUCUUCUGAACUGAAGGAAAAAAUGAUGUUAGUUCUCUGCGCGAAUACAAAGAAACACCUGGAAGCCUUGGCAAGGGGAUGAGAUUUGGCAGAGAUCUUUCCGUGUACCGAUGCAUCCUCAGGAAAAUGAUGUGCCGCUCAUUGUUCCUGUUGUCAAGGUUAUCGCAGUCGACUUCAGGCUGGAACGGGCAUUGCUCUUGCACUGAAGAAAGUCUGUCCUGACUCCCUCAGAGUGCCUCAACAUCAACCAAGAGCCACCGUGAACCUCUGGGGCACUGAGCCUGGCCACCAGCACCCCCACCCCAGCCCAUAUGGCCUGGGCCUCUCCCUUGGUAAGCCUCUUCCAACAGGGUAUCAGAGGAACCAAAUACACACUUACACUGGACGCUUGCUUUUCAUUCGCUUGCUCCAUAAUCCAUAGCAGGGAACACAAUGCAAAGAUUGCAAAUGUAAAAAUGACCUUUCCAAGUGGUAACACCUGGUGUGUUAAAAAGUCCAUUGCAGACUGGGUUUGCAGUGUGCACACUGUAAAUAUGGGGAAUGUGGGAAACAGUAGAGAGGGACUGUUUUCUCCUUUGGGUGUUAGCUGUCACCUUGUGUUAGACUGAGCCAGACUCCUCGGUUCUGGCUCCCACAGUCACAAGGCAUUAACCAAGGGUAUACAGAGGAACUCACCCAGGUUCACACCUAGAGAAGACUCAGUAAUAUUUGAUCAGCAACCUGCUGUCAAUUUAGAUAAAUGGCAUUUGACUUCAAAUAAAGGUGACUAACUCAAUGAAGGAAGCCUGUGCAUAGAAGGCAAUGUUUGCUUCUCCCAAGCUGUCAGGGAGAGCUUGCCCACCCUAGCAGUGGUCACUGAUUUUCUCCACCUCUGAAGACAUGGUGGGGUCCUGCCAAAGACUCUGAGCUGUCAGAAUUCUGGAAGAGACAAACUCACAACAAAGAAAUGCACAUGUCUCAAUGUGGCUUGGGAGGAGUAGCAGAUUUUAGAGUGAUGCUGACCUGAAUUUGAAUUGUGCUCUGCCACUCAAGGUCUGAGUGUCUGAAAGCAAGUUAUUCCACUUCUGUGAGGUAUAGCUGUCUUGCCUGUAACACAGGCAUUAUUCU